rnacentral:rRNA from 1 species
ACGGAGGAUCCAAGCGUUAUCCGGAUUUAUUGGGUUUAAAGGGUGCGCAGGCGGAAUGAUAAGUCAGUGGUGAAAUCCUACGGCUCAACUGUAGAACUGCCAUUGAUACUGUCAUUCUUGAGUAUAAUUGAUGUGGGCGGAAUGUGUCAUGUAGCGGUGAAAUGCUUAGAUAUGACACAGAACACCGAUCGCGAAGGCAGCUCACAAAGCUAUAACUGACGCUCAGGCACGAAAGCGUGGGGAUCAAACAG